rnacentral:rRNA from 1 species
AUGGUAGGAUAGAGGCCUACCAUGGUUUUAACGGGUAACGGGGAAUUAGGGUUCGAUUCCGGAGAGGGAGCCUGAGAAACGGCUACCACAUCCAAGGAAGGCAGCAGGCGCGCAAAUUACCCAAUCCCAACACGGGGAGGUAGUGACAAUAAAUAACAAUAUGGGGCUCUUACGAGUCUCGUAAUUGGAAUGGGUACAAUUUAAAUCUCUUAACGAGGAACAAUUGGAGGGCAAGUCUGGUGCCAGCAGCCGCGGUAAUUCCAGCUCCAAUAGCGUAUAUNAAAGUUGUUGCAGUUAAAAAGCUCGUAGUUGAAUUUCGGGAUCAAUAUGUCGGUCGUGCCUUCGGUACGUACUGGUAUCAUUGGUCUCUCCUUUCUGACGAACCAUGAUGUCAUUAAUUUGGUGUUAUGGGGAGUUAGGACUGUUACUUUGAAAAAAUUAGAGUGUUUAAAGCAGCCUUUAGCUUGAAUACAUUAGCAUGGAAUAAUGAAAUAGGACGUUCGAACCUAUUUUGUUGGUUUCUAGGAUCAACGUAAUGAUUAAUAGGGAUAGUUGGGGGCAUUAGUAUUCAAUUGUCAGAGGUGAAAUUCUUGGAUUUAUUGAAGACUAACUACUGCGAAAGCAUUUGCCAAGGAUGUUUUCAUUAAUCAAGAACGAAAGUUAGGGGAUCGAAGACGAUCAGAUACCGUCGUAGUCUUAACCAUAAACUAUGCCGACUAGGGAUCGGAUGAUGUUAAUUUUUUAAUGACUCAUUCGGCGCCUUACGGGAAACCAAAGUGUUUGGG